rnacentral:ncRNA from 1 species
CUGAGCGAGGCGAAGCCAGAGAAACUCUGGUGGAGGCCCGAAGCGAUACUGACGUGCAAAUCGUUCGUCUGACUUGG